AUCUUGAUGACGUAGAACGCAGUACAUGUGAGCACCAUUUCUUCACCGGCCGAUAUUAAAGCCGCAGUCAGGUCUUAUCAUUUCAGACAUUUAAUUACAAGGGUGAAAUCAAGGUAAGAUGUCGAGGUUCUUCAGGGCAGGCUCUGACUCUGAAACAGAGACAGAGAGUGAGGAGGAAGUGCAGCAGCAACGUCCAGCCAUCCCAGCAAGGGCAUAUCAGCUAAGUGAUGAUGAAGAAGAUGCUCGUCGCAUUGUUCGCAGUGAGAAAGAUAAACGAUAUGAAGAACUUCGUGACAUCAUUAAAACACUUAAAAAUCAUAAGAAAAUCAAGGACAUGGCAAGUGUUUUGACAGACUUUGAAAGUCUGGGCCGUGCCUAUGAUAAAGCAAGAAAAGUGGUUGACAAGGAGGGCAUCCCACGGUUCUACCUGCGCUGCCUUGUGGAGCUGGAGGACUUCGUGACCGAGAGCUGGGAAGAUCGUGAGUGGCGCAAGACCAUCAGUAAGAAUAAUUCAAAGGGGCUUACCACUUUGAGACAAAAGCUCAAAAAGUACUGUCGAACUUUUGAAGAAGAAAUGUCUCAUUACCGUGAGAAUCCAGAUGAAGGAGAAGAUGAAGAAGAAAGAGAAGAAGAGGAAGAAGAUGGAAGAGCAGAAUCUAAGGAGUCAGAUGAUGAAGGAGAAGUGGAGGAGAUUAGACCAAUGAAGGCUGCAAAGUUCGUGGGAUCAGAUGUUGAGUCAGAUGAAGAUGAAGACAGUGAUGAUAUCUGGAAUCAAAGUUCCGAAGAUGAAUCUUCAAGUUCAGAUGAUGACUUGCCUGUAGCAGGUCGUCUUACAGCCGAGUAUUUCCUCAAAACCACAACAGAGCAAGAAGCAGCCAAAAAGGAGAAAAAGAAAAAGGAAAAGAAAAAGACAGAUCGUCGAAAAGCUGAUGAGGAGUGGCAGCCUGUGAAGGGAGGAGCCCCACUUAUUGUGGAAAAACCCAAAAUGUUUGCGAAAGAUCAAGAAAUAAACCAUGAGGCUGUGGUUAAAAAGCUGUACGAGAUUGUUGCAGCCCGAGGCAAGAAGGGGACUGAUCGAUCCCAGAUGAUUGACAUGCUUGUGGAAUUAAAAAAUGUUUCCGAUGCCAACAACCUGGGCCCAGCCAUGCAUGUGAAGAUCCUCUUUAACAUCAUGGCUGCUAUUUUUGACUACAACCCGAAUAUUGCCACCUGCAUGCGCAAUGAGAUGUGGGAGAUGUGUUUAGAGACCAUGACAACUCUGAUGGACAUGCUGACCAGACGAGAGGAAAUUAAUGUUGGAGAAAAAAUUCUGGAAGAGAAUGAGAACUUUGAGACAGUACCGUACCGCGUGCGAGGCUGUAUUCUCACUGUCAUGGAACGCGUGGAUGAAGAGUUCACUAAAAUGCUUCAAGCCUGUGAUGCCCACAGCACUGAAUUUGUGGAAAGGCUAAAGGAUGAACAAAAGGUGUGCAAGCUUUUAGAGGACUUGGAGAUCUAUGUUGAAAAACAUGGCACCAGUGAGGAGAUCUGCCGCUGCUACUUGAGGCGAAUUGAACACCUGUACUUCAAGUUUGAUCCCACAGCAUUUGAUGUUCCUGCUGAUAAAUCAGUAACUUCAGAAAAGCUGAUGGACAAACUCUGCAAAUUCAUAUAUGCCAAGGAUCUGACAGAUCGUUUGCGAACACGAGCUAUUCUGUGCCAGAUCUACCAUCAUGCCUUGCAUGAUCGUUGGUUCCAGGCCCGUGACCUCAUGCUUAUGUCUCACCUUCAGGACAACAUCCAGCACUCAGAUGUUCCCACUCAGAUUCUGUACAACCGCACACUUGUGCAGCUGGGACUGUGUGCUUUUCGUCAAGGUCACGUGCGCGAUGCCCACAAUGCACUUGUGGAUAUCCAGAGCAGCAACCGUGCCAAGGAACUGUUGGCUCAGGGUUUGGUGCCCCAGCGUCAGCAUGAGCGAACACCAGAGCAGGAGAAGAUCGAAAAGCGACGUCUGCUUCCAUAUCAUAUGCACAUAAAUCUUGAGUUGCUGGAGUGUGUUUACCUAGUUUCAGCUAUGCUGUUGGAGAUUCCAUAUAUGGCAGCUCAUGAACUGGAUGUUCGUCGUCGAAUGAUCAGUAAGAAUUUCCAUCACGUGAUGAAAAUGAGCGAGAGACAAACACUGACUGGUCCACCAGAAAGCAUGCGUGAACAUGUGGUGGCUGCAUCAAAGGCCAUGAAAGCUGGUGACUGGCGUGCAUGCAAGAACUUCAUCAUCAAUGAAAAGAUGAAUGCCAAGGUGUGGGAUUUGUUUCAUCAGGCCGACAAGGUACGGGACUUGAUUCGCUCUAAGAUACAAGAAGAGAGCCUGCGAACCUACCUCUUCUGCUACUCCAGUGUGUACGACUCUAUCAGCCUGCCUUACCUGGCCCUGAUGUUUGAGCUGGAGACCCCGGUGGUCCAUUCAAUUAUUAGCAAGAUGAUCAUUGGGGAGGAGCUCAUGGCUUCCCUGGAUGAACCCAGUCAAGUACUCUCCAUGCAUCGCACAGAGCCAACUCGCCUCCAGUCGCUGGCAUUGCAGCUGGCAGAAAAAGUAGCCUCACUGGUUGAAAACAAUGAGAGAAUAAUGGAAGUGAAACAAGGCAACUUCUUUUUCCAGAAGUCAAAGAUGAUUAUCUAAAUGUUUGCGGUAAUCAGAACUAUAUGCAGCAAAAUCAGAACUGGGGUGGAGGCCGACGACAGAAUCGUCAAGAGGGAAGAUAUGACCGAGAGAGGAGCAGGAACUAUUGAAGUGUAGCUGUCUCAGUCCUGAAUCGAGUUAAAAAAGACUUUUAACAUAUAGUUCUCAGCUUUCGAUAACGAUGCCACCAGCACCAUGAAAAUUGUGUAAUUUACAUGUGGUGUUUGAGUUUACUUCAGUUUGUAGUUGGAUUAAAGAGAGACAUGAGCAAAA
rnacentral:misc_RNA from 1 species